rnacentral:lncRNA from 1 species
UCUUCCUUGCUCUCUACAAGGUUUAGUGGACCCACUAGAGGGUCCAAGACUCCUACUUUAUAGGCCUUGGGCUAACCCCAGUAGAAGAUUCUGAACCCAUAGAUAUUACUACAAUCAUUCAAUGCAUUGAUCUCCUCCUGCCCAUCAUUGACAAUACUUGUCACAUUACCUUGGAAUUGAUUUGAUUCUCACUUCAUGAUCUACUGGUUGAGUCAUCCAAAUCGGGUCCACUCAAGCUAUCGGAUAUAGUUAUCUAGAUAAUUGCAUCUUUAUUUAUAUAUUUUCCACCAUGAUCAUAUUCAUUUAUGAUUUCUCCUAGCUAUUGGUUUUAGUUAUGUAUGGGAGCAAUUAACUGGGU